rnacentral:lncRNA from 10 species
AGCUCUUCCCCGAGCUAAAACACCUCUCCCACCUGGAUCUCCAGCUCCACGAGUCUCACAGAACAGCCACACUGGCUCCUUCGUUGUCUUCAGCUCCACAACCUAAGACAUCAGUGGGAGCACCGGCUCCUCCCUGGACCUCCAGCUCAACGACUCUCAUAGACUUAAAAGGCAGCACCUGCUCCUCCCCAAGGCUCCAUCUCCACCACCCUCAGAUUUGAACAGCGGUAGCACCACCUCCUCUCCAGGUCUUCAGCCCCACGUCCCUCCCUGAACAAUCCCUUCUCAUGAAAUUCAGCAGUCAAGAAAUCUGCAGCGGAAGUAAAUGAAUAAAUGUUUUGUUUUCAAA